rnacentral:misc_RNA from 1 species
UUAUUAUUGUUAUUAUUAUUCUCUUCCUCCUCUGAAUAUUUGUGGUGUUCGCUGGAGACAUUUGCCAUUGAGGGUGGUGGUGGCACCACCGUAAUGUCAUGGACAAGAUUCUGUGGCCCAAUAGUAGUGGGUAUGACCACUUUGCUGCACUUUGAAGCUUUGGUCCAGAAAACCUUUUUUGCAUUAGCAUUUGACAUGGAUAUGGAUUUUUGGAUUGGUCUGUGUUGAGGUUGGUUAAACUUGAACGAAUUAUUAUGACUUGAACAAGGAAAUUUCUGGUUUUGCAAUCUCUUGCCAAUAAUGGUGUUCCAGUAGUUCUUUAUUUCAUUG